rnacentral:rRNA from 1 species
AUUGAACGCUGGCGGCAUGCCUUACACAUGCAAGUCGAACGGCAGCACGGGUGCUUGCACCUGGUGGCGAGUGGCGAACGGGUGAGUAAUACAUCGGAACAUGUCCUGUAGUGGGGGAUAGCCCGGCGAAAGCCGGAUUAAUACCGCAUACGAUCCACGGAUGAAAGCGGGGGACCUUCGGGCCUCGCGCUAUAGGGUUGGCCGAUGGCUGAUUAGCUAGUUGGUGGGGUAAAGGCCUACCAAGGCGACGAUCAGUAGCUGGUCUGAGAGGACGACCAGCCACACUGGAACUGAGACACGGCCCAGACUCCUACGGGAGGCAGCAGUGGGGAAUUUUGGACAAUGGGCGAAAGCCUGAUCCAGCAAUGCCGCGUGUGUGAAGAAGGCCUUCGGGUUGUAAAGCACUUUUGUCCGGAAAGAAAUCCUUGGCUCUAAUACAGUCGGGGGAUGACGGUACCGGAAGAAUAAGCACCGGCUAACUACGUG